AAAAGAAAAGGAAAAAGGAAAAAAAUGGAGAGGGGAAAAAAGGAGAAAAAGGGGGAAACGGAAAUAGAGAAGAGGGAGAACGAAGGGGAGAAGAGAGCCGAGGAUGGAGAGGGAGGAGAAGAGGUCGCCGCUGUCCAGCUCGCACCACCAUCGUCACACACUACUACUGCCUCGUCGCCACCGCCGCACCUUGUUGUCGUAAUCAAAGCCACCACCGCCGUCUGUUGAAAGCAUUCGCGUCGCCGCCAGAACCCUUGCCGUCGUCGUUGCCAUUGGACGAAGGAGAGAGGAAAAGAUGCGAUGUACAUAGCAGCCCACUGUCGUGCUUCAUCUCCGUCGCUGCCAUGGAUGCCGGUGAGUUGCACGGUGUCAUCGGGGUUUGAUGAGGAAGAUUCGUAGAUUGGGUUUUCCAAAAUCAAGGUUUGGAAUUUGGUGAAGAUUGGUUCAUUGGUUGGAUUCUUGGAGUUGCUGUUCUGCCACCGCCGUUGCUGUAACCGUGCCUCGAUUGCCGGAAAAUGGCGUCGUUGUCGGCGGAGAACCACCGUUGAAGCCGCUAUUGCUCUGCUGCCGCCCCCACUAGAGGUAGCUAUUGGAGCUGCCGCCGGAACCCUUGUCUUCUUGGUUGGUCGUUUAGAUGGUAUGCAGCAGUUGUGUAAGGUCUUUGGUUGUUCAAGCUGGAACCUUUGCCAAAUGAGUGAGAAUAAACAACACUAGGAGGAGUUUGCAAGCUGUCCCUAGUAUUUCUUAUUCGCCUACUCGUCAAUUCAAGACAUUCCCAGUGAUGAUGGUGGGUACGGGUUCCGUGUCAAGAAGUGCUGGUUCCCCUGUAGAUAUGAUGCGAGAGAAAGAUGAUGAUGGCCGGUUUGCAAGUGGAGGGUGGAAUAGUGAGGAUGGAAGGCUUAGCUGUGGGUAUUAAGAUGGAGGACUUUUAUGAUAUUAAAACAUUGAAAAUUGGUGGUAAUUCAAUAUGCUUACUUGGAACAUUUGAUGGUCAUGGUGGUUCUCGUGCUGCAGAGUAUUUGAAAAAAAAGCAUCUCUUUGAUAAUCUCAUGAAGCAUCCAUUUUUUUACUGAUGCCAAAUUGGCUAUAAGUGAAACGUACCAAGAUUAUAGGACUAUAAUAUCAAAGGCUGGUAAGGCAAUUGCUCUCUGUGAGGAUCAUAAGCCAAACAGAAGUGAUGAACAAAAGAGGAAUUGAUGCGUUUAAACUAAAUUGAGGAACUGGAUGAAGAAGUUUUAAGAAGAGUUAUACUGCGUUUGGUUUAUUAAGUUAUUGUAUUAAUUAGAUUAUUUUCUUCCCUCGUCUUUGUUAUUACAAGUUUAUAAGAGGGAUAGGAAUUAUAUGUUUUAUAUGUAUAUUAUAUUAUGAGUUAUUAUGUAAGGAGUCUUGUAUAUGAACCUAUGCCUGUUUGUAUUUUUCUUAAGAUAAAGUGUUUAUUUCUGGUUUUAAAAAAAAAUCAGCGAUACAGUUUCGAGGCACAGGCUCCUAUUUUACUAUUUAGUAUGUAAAGUAGUUGUAAUACUUCUUGCUAUCAGAGUGACGCAGCCGGAAGCGUGAUUUCAGAUAGUGAGGGUGUUACAUUAAAUAUAUUUUCAAAUCAUCUAAGACUUAAAUAUCUGCGGAGUAAAAUAUCAAAAAUCUCUUUAUCCUU